AACGAACGCUGGCGGCAUGCCUAACACAUGCAAGUCGAACGAGACCUUCGGGUCUAGUGGCGCACGGGUGCGUCACGCGUGGGAACCUGCCCUUAGGUUCGGAAUACCUCCCCGACAGGGGUGCUAAUACCGGAUAAUGUCUUCGGACCAAAGAUUUAUCGCCUUUGGUUGGGCCCGCGUUGGAUUAGCUAGUUGGUAGGGUAAAAGCCUACCAAGGCGCCGAUCCAUAGCUGGUCUGAGAGGCAGGUCAGCCACACUGAGACUAGGACACGGCCCAGACUCCUACGGGAGGCAGCAGAGGGGAAUAGUGGAAAAUGGGCGGAAGGCUGAACGAGCAAUGCCGGUAAAGUGAUGAAGGCCGGAGGGAAGUAAAGCUCUUUUACCCGGGAUGAUAAUGACAGUACCGGGAGAAUAAGCUCCGGCUAACUCCGUG
rnacentral:rRNA from 1 species